UUCUGAUUCGCAUACAAAAUUUGAAUAACUAAAUUUUCAUGUCUCCUCUAACAUUCAAAUACCCAAAAUUCCUUUUUCGUGAAAUGAAAUGUUUUAGAAAGAUGAUCUUCUGGCACAGUGUCAUCGUCUAUUAGUUGAGAUAUUGAGAAUACCCAAUAGUAUCAUUGUUGGAGAAGAACUAUGCUAAAGGGCGGUAGAAAUUUCACAAGCCGAGCCUCCCAGAGAAAUAAAUCUACCAGAAUAAUUUUUUUACGAAAAAACUUCGCCUAUCAGGUAUAAAUAAUCACGUUUCUCAUAAAAUAAAAACAUUGCAAGUUGGUCUCCCAGGGAAUAAUCUCGACCAGAUUGAUUAUUUUCGACAUUAAAACCAACCUCCGUCUAUCGGAUAUGAACUCCCACUAUUCAGGUCGGGCGAUGGGUCGGGCCUAUUCUCUGCCUCUGGACACAGAAUACUCUCUGGGACUAUUACUUUGGAAU